AGAUUAAGUUAUUAAGGGCGCACGGUGGAUGCCUUGGCACUAGAAGCCGAUGAAGGACGUUACUAACGACGAUAUGCUUUGGGGAGCUGUAAGUAAGCUUUGAUCCAGAGAUUUCCGAAUGGGGAAACCCAGCAUGAGUUAUGUCAUGUUAUCGAUAUGUGAAUACAUAGCAUAUCAGAAGGCACACCCGGAGAACUGAAACAUCUUAGUACCCGGAGGAAGAGAAAGAAAAU
rnacentral:rRNA from 1 species